rnacentral:rRNA from 1 species
GAUAAACGUUUGCGGCGUGCCUGAUGCAUGCAAGUCGAACGCCCCGAUUUUCGUCAAGAUUGAUCGGGGAGUGGCGAACGGCUGAGUAACACGUAAGUAACCUGUCCCUAAGUGGGGGAUAACUUGCCGAAAGGCAGGCUAAUACCGCAUACGUUGGUAAACGUCAGUUUAUCAACAAAGCUUUUGCGCUUGGGGAGGGGCUUGCGUCUGAUUAGCUAGUUGGUAGGGUAAUGGCCUACCAAGGCGAUGAUCAGUAGCUGGUCUGAGAGGACAACCAGCCAGACGGGGACUGAGAUACGGCCCUGACACCUACGGGAGGCUG